AUUCAGCGAGAUCGCGGGCAGCUGGAAGACAGGUUGAAUCUCACACAGCAUGCUUGAAAUAUUUUUCACUGUGAGGAAGAUAUGGUACAUGAUCAUUGCCGUUAUUGGUGUUCCCGUGAAUUUAGUGGCGAUUACGAUCCUGUCCCGGAGAAAGUGCGGCCUCUCCACCUGCACCACGCGGUACCUGGUGGCCAUGGCAACGGCGGAUCUACUAACCAUCAUCUUUGAUGUGACACUGUGGCAGAUCAGUUAUUAUUACUUCCCCGGGACUUUCCUGGACAUCACCCCCGUGUGCAGCGCGAUCUCUGCCCUGGCAGAGGCAGCCACUGACUGUUCUGUCUGGUUCACCGUCAUGUUUACAUUUGAUCGGUUUGUCGCCAUCUGUUGCCAGAAGCGGAAAGCGAAGUAUUGCACCGGGAAAACUGCGGCUGUGGUUCUGACGGCAACUGGCACUCUGCUCUGUUUCAUAAAUGUGCCCUAUUUCUUUAUAUAUCAUCCAGCGAAAGUGGUUGACAAUAUACCCUGGGACUGUAUUCCAAAACCAGGAUACUAUCAAUAUCCCGUGUGGGUUGGGUAUAGGUGGUUAGCUACCGUUCUAUCGCCAUUACUCCCGUUCGUGUUAAUACUGCUGUUCAACGCUCUGACAGUCAGACACAUUUUGGUGACUAGUCGCGUCCGUAAGAGGCUGAGGGGUCAAAGCAAGGCGGAGAACCGCAGUGACCCGGAGAUGGAGAGCAGGAGGAGGUCUGUGAUCUUACUUCUCACCAUCUCCGGAAGCUUCAUCAUCCUGUGGUCGGUGACUGUUGCCGAAUUCCUUUAUUACACCAUCGCCGGAUUGGAUCCAAAUAAUUACAACGAUUCGGAACAAAUAUUUGUUCAGUCCGGAUACAUGCUGUUGAUACUAAGUUGCUGCACAAACACGUUUAUUUACGGGAUAACUCAGUCCAAGUUCAGAGAGCAGUUCAUCAGCGCAGCGAAAUAUCCGCUCACGUCAAUUAUACAGCUAAUUAAUAAUCAAAACGUCUAGGUUCUUCUCAGCUCAGAGCCACCCGUAGUAAUUUCAAUCUUGUUAGUACAGACUCUGCGGUCAUCGGAGAAUGUGGACGCGGGGAAAAUAAAACUGGUUCAGCGCCUGAGAGAGAGGCACAGAGCACAGUUACAGACCCUCGUCACCCGCAGUCCCCGACCUGCUUCUCCUACCAAUAAUUACGUUCACACUACCUCUUAUUUUUAUUUCACCAUUUUCCCGUACUUGUCCCCACCGCACCCCUUUCGACAACGAAUACCGCACCCUAAUUGGCCAUUCAUCCGGUGACCUACAAAGCCGUUUCGUCUCGGUGACAGAAAGGUAUCGGGACACCUAGUGGAAAUACUGCCUUCACGAGGAGAUGGUUGGAAUUCACACUGAGCGCCCCGGAGAUCAGUUCGAGUCUGGCCCGUACUCAGAAAUUUAGCUGAUUACACCCAACAUCGGCACGUCCUUUUAUAUGCGAUAAGCAGUCAGAAUCCACGUAGACAGACAUCGUAACUUCAACUCUGAGUGUACCUUUGUCCAGUGAGUUGGUAUCAAAUUUGUGAUGUGUUCACCAGCAAAGAGAAAUUCUGAACAAGGUCUAAUUAUCAUCUGCAGAAAGUUUUUCUCUGAAGUUGUCUUUCAUGAAACUACGAGGAGGGAGUCUUUAUUCCUCAUUUCCCUAGGUAACAAAGAACUUCAAGAAAUUCAACACCGUAGAAUCGGCCAAUAGGCACUUUAGGACGGCUUUGAGCCAAGGCCAGAUGGUUAAUUCAGACGUUUAAACUACCUGGGAUAAGAGCAUUAACCACUGGGUCCAGGAGCGGAAUUUGUUCAUUCGCUUCAUCGAGCUCUCCGCCUUUCCUUCUCGAGUGAUCUGUUCCACAACUCCAAACUCUUUCCUUCUCCCAGAAACAGUUAGACCCCUCACCAUUCGAGAAAAUUUAAACCCUUUUCUUCGCUACAUCCAAUGUCUUUGUGUCCACAACUUCUGUGCCAUCGAAUUCGAGUCCCCUUGAUAUGAGUGCCGGCAUUGCAUUUGUCUUCGUUACCACCGAUUUAACCUGCAGGGUAGCCAUCAGGAAAUCCAGAACAAGGAGCCAUAACUCUAUAUGUAUCUCUUAUUUCUGACUUUCCCCCCAUUUACAACCUCUCUACACAUUAAUCGUUCGUUUCUAAAUGUAUCCCCCACACCUCCAUACCUGUCACUACUUUGCCCACUUACUUAAUCUGAUCCCUGCCGGCGGCACUAUCUGCCUCUGCAGGUAAAUACUUUCCAUCUGAAUCUCACUCUUGAGCUCGCUCUCCAACGUUGAAAGUUUUAUCAACCCUGGCGUAGAAUGCAUUUAUUGAAAGUUACAGAAUAUCUCUCUGAUGUUCCACGCUCCCUACCCCCUCCUUUAUUCCUGAUCCCAGCCACGAAAUCCCUCACCCUGCCCCGAUUCCACUCUCAUCCCGCAUCGGAGACCUACGUCAGAAUCAGCGUCAGCAUCACUUAACAUAGAUUACUGGAUAUCCCAUUUGAGUGACGCAGUGAACGCGAUUGCUCUGAAUUCCACAGCUCGGCAAGACACUCUGGGCUGACGUACUGCAACAGGCUCUGAUUUGAACAGGGGGUCGAUCUCCAGUGACAAGGUCCCACCUCUGACCAUUCUUAUUGAACAAACAAAUUACAUCACCGGCAGUGUCUCAGGUGUGAAUUCUGUGGGCAUGUUCCAAAUGACCGGCUUCAUUUCCAACAUUCCACAGUUGUAUUGACAGCGGUCACGACUGUUCCCAUUUUCCAAACUGAAACUUUCACUGUGCUUCUCUUUCCACAAGCAUCCGGAAUCGAUGUUUCCAAAUGUUCGGCAAUGUUCACUGUACACUCUGUUUCAUCCACAAAUAGAUCCGGUUUCUCCUCAGUGUGCUCUGGAUCCAGGGACACAUGAUAACCCUCCCAGUCUCCUCCUACAGACUCUCAGUUAAUGUCAUUCACAAUUUUUUGCUUAAGCAGCUCCACUUUUGCCGCUCAGAUAGCAAACCCAUCCCACCCCGUCCACUACGUGCCACCAGAUAUAAAACUUCCCCACUGUGUACACAGACACGCUGUCCAAUUCUCCAUCAGACCUGGACGACACCGAUUAUUAAAACUGUGAUCAUCUUCCCCAGUAUAAUGCUU